rnacentral:rRNA from 1 species
GACGAACGCUGGCGGCGUGCUUAACACAUGCAAGUCGAGCGGAAAGGCUCCUUCGGGGGUACUCGAGCGGCGAACGGGUGAGUAACACGUGAGUAAUCUGCCCUUGGCUUUGGGAUAACUACCGGAAACGGUGGCUAAUACCGGAUACGACCACUCCUUGCAUGAGGUGGUGGUGGAAAGUUUUUUCGGCCAGGGAUGUGCCUCGCGGCCUAUCAGCUUGUUGGUGGGGUAAUGGCCUACCAAGGCUUCGGACGGGUAGCCGGCCUGAGAGGUGACCGGCCACACUGGGACUGAGACACGGCCCAGACUCCUACGGGAGGCAGCAGUGGGGAAUAUUGGACAAUGGGCGGAAGCCUGAUCCAGCAACGCCGCGUGAGGGAUGACGGCC